CCGAUCUAGUGCGUAAUAGCUCACUGGUCGAGAGACUCUGCGCCGAAAAUGUCCGGGGCUAAAGUGUAAAACCGAAGUCGUGUCAUAUGCAGCAAUGUAUAUGGGUAGGGGAGCGUUCUCAUCGGGCUGAAGCAGUACCGUAAGGAGUUGUGGACUGAUGAGAAGUGAGAAUGUCGGUAUGAGUAGCGAAAAGAAUGGUGAGAAUCCAUUCCACCGAAAGCCUAAGGGUUCCUGAGCAACGAUCGUCGUCUCAGGGUAAGUCGGGACCUAAGCCGAGGCGGAAAAGCGUAGGCGAUGGACAACAGGUUGAAAUUCCUGUACCGGUGUGAAUCGUUUGAUCGAUGGAGUGACACAGUAAGGUAGGUCAGCACGCGAUUGGAAGAGCGUGUUUAAGCAGGUAGGUUGAGCUAUAGGCAAAUCCGUAGCUCUAAAAGCUGAGAUGUGAUGACGAGUUACUAGCGAUAGUAACGAAGUGAUUGAUCCUACACUGUCGAGAAAAGCUUCUAGGUAGAGACACAUCGCCCGUACCAAAACCGACACAGGUAGGCGGGGAGAGAAUCCUAAGGUGCGCGGGAAAACCCUCGUUAAGGAACUCGGCAAAAUGCCUCCGUAACUUCGGGAAAAGGAGGACUCAUGUAGUGUGAAGAGCAGCAACGCUUGGAGCAUGAAUGAGUGGCACAAGAGAGGCGCAAGCGACUGUUUACCACAAACACAGGUGCCUGCUAAAGCGAAAGCUGAUGUAUAGGUGCUGACACCUGCCCGGUGCUGGAAGGUUAAGAGGAGGGGUUAGACUUCGGUCGAAGCUCUGAAUUGAAGCCCCAGUAAACGGCGGCCGUAACUAUAACGGUCCUAAGGUAGCGAAAUUCCUUGUCGGGUAAGUUCCGACCCGCACGAAAGGUGUAACGACUUGCGCACUGUCUCAACGAGGGACCCGGUGAAAUUGAAGUACCUGUGAAGAUGCAGGUUACCCGCGACUGGACAGAAAGACCCCAUGGAGCUUUACUGCAACCUAAGAUUGAACUUAGUUAAUGAAUGUACAGGAUAGGUGGGAGACGUAGAACCUAGGACGCCAGUUUUAGGGGAGUCACUGUUGGGAUACCACCCUUUCAUUAAUUGAUUUCUAACGGGCCGAGUAACGACCGGCCGGACAGUCUUAGGCGGGCAGUUUGACUGGGGCGGUCGCCUCCUAAAGAGUAACGGAGGCGCCCAAAGGUUCCCUCAGAGCGGACGGAAAUCGCUCGAAGAGUGUAAAGGCAGAAGGGAGCUUGACUGCGAGACGGACAGGUCGAGCAGGGACGAAAGUCGGGCUUAGUGAUCCGGUGGUGCCGAGUGGAAGGGCCAUCGCUCAACGGAUAAAAGCUACCCUGGGGAUAACAGGCUAAUCUCUCCCAAGAGUCCAUAUCGACGGGGAGGUUUGGCACCUCGAUGUCGGCUCAUCACAUCCUGGGGCUGAAGUAGGUCCCAAG
rnacentral:rRNA from 1 species